rnacentral:rRNA from 1 species
AGGUUUAUACAGUUCAGAUGAGGAAAUUCCAUAAGCCUAACUCUAUGGACCUGAAUUUGGAAACUAAACUUCCUGCGGUUUUGGAGGAGCGAGGUUGGAAUUCUGUGGGUACGCGGUUAAAAUGCGUCGAAAUCUAGAGGGAUGACUCUGGCGAAAGCGGCCCUGCUGGACAAAACCUGACGAUGAGGUGCGAAAGCGCGGGGGAGCACACAGGAUUAGAUCCCCUGGUAGUCCAUGCUGUAAACGAUGUCGACUUGGAGGUUGUUUCCUUGAGAAGUGGCCUCCGAAGCUAACGCAUUGAGUCGCCCGCCUGGGGAGUACGGCCGCAAGGCUAAACUCAAAUGAAUUGACGGGGGCCCGCACAAGCGGUGGAGCAUGUGGUUUAAUUCGAUGCAACGCGACGAACCUUACCUGGUCUUGACAUCCACAAAAUUUUUUAGAGAUAAAAAAGUGCCUUUACCGGUAAUUAUGAGACAGGUGCUGCAUGGCCGUCGUCAGCUCGUGUUGUGAAAUGUUGGGUUAAGUUCCGCAACGAGCGCAACCCUUGUUCUCUGUUGCCAUCAGGUUAUGCUGGGACCUCAGAGGAGACUGCCGGUUAUAAGCUGGAGGAAGGUGGGGACGACGUCAAGUCAUCAUGGCCCUUACGACCAGGGCUACACACGUGCUACAAUGGCAUAUACAAAGAGAAGCAAAUCUGCGAAGACAAGCAAAACUCAUAAAGUAUGUCUUAGUUCGGACUGGAGUCUGCAACUCGACUCCCCGAAGUCGGAAUCGCUAGUAAUCGUGGAUCAGAAUGCCACGGUGAAUACGUUCCCCGGCCCCGCUCACGCCGCCCGUC